rnacentral:rRNA from 1 species
ACGCUCGACACCUACGGAGGCAGCAGUGGGGAAUAUUGCACAAUGGGGGAAACCCUGAUGCAGCGACGCCGCGUGAGCGAAGAAGUAUUUCGGUAUGUAAAGCUCUAUCAGCAGGGAAGAAACUGACGGUACCUGACUAAGAAGCACCGGCUAAAUACGUGCCGCAGCCGCGGUAAUCUGAGCGGGCUGGCAAGGC